AGCCGCCACACGGGGCCGACCUGCCCUCAAUCCCCUACCCCCUCCGGCCCAACGUGCGCUCUCUCGGAGCAUGCGCAGAGCGGGGUGUUCAAAGGGACUUCAGGGCCUCCGGCGGUGGGCUGGAGUGUGUGAGGGGAGUCCGCGCAUGCGCCCUGGGGGGGGCUCCUGUAGCAGUUGUGCUUCGAGGGAUUAAAUCCAAAGUGAAGAAUGUCAGUAGUCACAGUGCAGCUUGGUCAGUGUGGUAAUCAGAUUGGCCAUGAGGUGUUCAAUGCUAUCUGCAGCGAUUUCCACAGUACACAUGGGCUGUGCUCCAAGAAGGAGAAUGAAUCCUAUCAGGAAGCUUGUAAAGAACGUUUUUUCAGUGAGGAGAAAACUGGAGUACCUGUUGCCCGGGCUGUACUUAUUGACAUGGAACCUAAAGUAAUCAGUCAGACCUUAUCAAUGGCUGCUAGAUCCGGCUGCUGGAAGUAUGACCAUCAGUCACAUUUCUGUCAGAAACAAGGGUCUGGAAACAACUGGGCAAAUGGUUACUCUGUUCAUGGGCCCAGACACAAAGAUGCGAUCAUGAAUCUGGUCCAGAAGGAAGCAGAGAAAUGUGAUAGACUCAGCGGAUUUUUCACAGUAAUGAGCAUGGCUGGUGGUACAGGGUCAGGCAUGGGAGCGUUUGUGACCCAGUGCUUACGGGAUGCUUUUCCAGCCUCAUUUAUACUAAACCAGGUUGUCUGGCCAUAUGGAACUGGUGAGGUUAUUGUCCAAAACUACAACUCAGUUCUGACGCUCUCUCACUUGUACCAGUCUUCAGAUGCUCUCCUUGUUCAUGAAAAUGAUGCCAUCCACAAGAUCUGUGCUCAGCUAAUGAAUAUUAAGCAGAUCUCAUUCAGGGAUGUAAAUAGAGUCAUUGCACACCAGCUGGGAAGCGUCUUUCAGCCUACUCACACCUCCGAAGGUGCUGUUCGGUACAGCAGAAAUCCACUAGGAGAUUUAAUGGAAUCUUUAGUUCCCCAUCCUGAAUUCAAGAUGUUGGGUCUUCGUAAUAUUCCUCAGAUGUCUGAGAACUCCCUGGCAUAUAGCACAUUCACUUGGCCUGGACUCAUCAAACACCUGAGGCAGAUGCUUAUUGCUAAUGCUAAAAUGGAGGAAGGUAUCAAUUGGCAGGUGCGACCACCAUUGUCUGGACUCCCUGUCUCCCAAAAAUGCUGUCUGAGUAGAGCACCGCAUUUUAACACUUCUAUUGCCAACCUGGUUAUCCUGCGAGGAAAAGAUGUACAAAGUGUGGAUGUAGGAGGUUUCAGAGAUGCUGCAUUAUAUACCUCAUGGCUAAACCCUCAGGAUGCUUUUAAUGUAUGGAAAACACCAAGAGCUUUUAACAAGUAUGAAAAGUCUGCUGCUUUGGUCAGCAAUAGCCAGUUUCUGCUGAAGCCUCUAGACGAUAUUGUUGGGAAGGCUUGGAAUAUGUUUGCUUCCAAGGCAUAUGUUCACCAGUACACUAAGUUUGGGAUUGAAGAGGAGGACUUUCUGGACUGCUUCACAGCUCUGGAACAGGUUCUCUCUAGUUAUGCCAGCCUUUGAUUUUGAAAUGCUUGCCAAUGGGGCUUUAUCAAAAAGUAUCCACAAAGCAAGGCCUUCUGCAUCAGCUUCCAAGACAGAAACUGUUCAGAUGGGCCCCGUGUCCAAGCUGAGCAGUGGUGAUGCAGAGGGGCCUGCACGAAGGCCAGUGUGCCCCAUUGAAGUCAAUAGGUUCCAAGAGGAUCAGCACAGGCAUAGACAGUUACAAGACUGGAGCCUCUUGACAGCAAAAUCUAAGGCAGCCUGAGCAUGCAGGAGAUCAAAGGUUUCUGAAAACUGGAACUGGAAGUCUGCCUAGCAAAGCCGGGGAGUAAAGUCAUGGGACAGCCAAGAAGUGGCGAAGGGGGACGGGCGGCGUUCUUACCUGUGGCACUCCACUGUCAGGUCUGUGGUGGAGUUUUAUCCGCUGAGCUUCCAAGUAUUCUUGGAACGGCUUCCGAAGAGAAGGACCUAUACUUGGGACAGCACUGAAGCAAAUUCAUCCCAGAAAACAAGACAAAUUGUGGGGAGAGACAAAACAAGAAAAUCAUUUUAGGGUUUUUUUUAAACUUACCACCUGGACUCAAACAGAACAAAGUUCAGAUUCAAGCCACGGCUCAGGAUAGCCAUGUUAUAUAAAGCACUCGCUUGGUUCAUCUGAAGGGGACGAAUGGGUCCCCGGGCCCUCAAAAAUUAAAUAAAUAAAUAAAUAAAGGAGGUAAAAAAGAAAAAAAAAAAAAAAAAAGUAUUUCACAGCAGACUACGGAUGCCAAGCUCAGAGGUAAGAUGGAGAGAGGCUCUGAGCUCCAGUAUUUCCUUUUGAGUCAGGGAGAAGCCCAGCUGGGGCUGUGCACUGAAGCAGUGCUGAGAAUAAAAUGAAUGACUUCUCAGAAGUCCCACAUUUAUCACCAGCAGUUCCUGUAAGAACUGGUUUGAACCGAUUAAUAAGGAAAUGACUUGUGCUUGUGUCAUCCCUCAGUUAAAAAAGAAACUGCCCGCCCUAUGACUUGCCCCUAUCUUCUCAAAGAAGGCGGCCCCUUUCUCAAACUUCAGUCCUUAUUAGGACAAUCUGUGCGUCAUCCUUAUCCAAAAAGAAUGCAUUAGCAAAUUCUAAAGGCACCUCCCACUAGUCAGUGAUUAACAAAGGAACAAAGAAGGAACUAUGAACCUUGUUCUGAAUCACUCCAUGGUUUAUGGCAGAUGACUUUGCACAGAAAAUACAGUACAUUUCUAAACACCUUGUUCUCAGAUGAACGUUAUAAUGAGCACUGAUAAGUUUAUGUACUCAGGACCUUCUAUAAACCACUGAAGCACUGAUGAGAGACAGGUUCAGCAAUGUGGCUGCUAAAUGCCAUUCAGCAGAUGCCAGAGCAGUUUAAAAAAUUGUGACUCAGAAAAGAAAUAUCAAAUCAAAUCAGCAUCAGUUUUUAUACCCAUUAUCUAACAAUCGUGUGCCACAUUAGUCAACAGGAACAGAACCUGUAUCCUGCCGCCUCCACCCCCUCCUUCCCACUGGGGCCUGUUUAGUCCUGGAUGUGUGGGUCCUGGUGUUUUAGAAAUACCCUCAAGAGAUGCUCACAGCGUCCUCCCCCCAUACAAGAAGCAACCAGAGUUAAUCCAAAGGAAGCCCAAGCACAACGCCAGGAUCCUGUGGCUGAGCCUGCAUCUACACAUGACCUCGCUGGGAGAACCAGUGGGAAUUUCUUGCACAAAGUUUCUCCAGUGCCAACAGUCUGAAUGCUUGAAAAGGGACAAACUGCUUCCCAGAUAGCCGGGUCUUCAUCAGCUCCAGCUAAACAAAUGCUACAAAUUUGGAAUUUCUGAUCCUUCCUCCAUUACUAGGAGGGAGAGUUUUAUACAAGGUGCUUCGAUCCACCAAAAGCAGAGGUAUUAAAAGGGAUCGCUCCCCUCUACCUUGCUUCUGGGAGCUCUGGCUAAGGAUGGCUGCAUCUCCUCUCAAACUGCAUCACCACUCAGCUCCUUCUCAGAAGACACGAGGAGGACAGCAGCUUUCUGAUACUGCAAGUAUUUGUAAAUCCAGAGAUCUCUCUAGCUCCUGAUCUGCCUUGCUAAUUCUACGUGGUCCAGUAGCCUGGGGCAAGGAGUUUUUUGAACACCAAGUUUAAAGGAAAAACAAUGCUUGCAUCAGUCACUUGCUCUCAACCUGCUACAAAGCGAUUUUGUGCUUGGACUGGUCUAUUUUCCAAGCACUUUUGCAAGGGUAAUGCACACCCAUGUCUGCAUUUCAUAUAACAGAGUACCAGUUUGUACCAGCAAUUUCCAGUUCUUCAAAACACUGUAAGGCCCUGAUACCUCCUCGCUGGUAGAAAAUCUCCCAAAUGACUCGCCGGUCACGAGUCAGUUUGAAAAUUCUGAGGUUUCUUUUUUCUUUUCUUUUUUUAAGUGACGCAUGCAAGACAAAGGAAGAAAAGGCUCCUGAAAGGUGUUAUUUUACUUUUAAAACUUUCCAUGACUUUUAUAUUAGAACUGUUCAAACAACGAGAAUUGAAUGAGUAAUCAAAAAGCCGUCGAUAAAGAAAACCAACUAAUUCAAACCCUCAAAUUCUAAAAAAACCCCAAAAUACCCAAGAGCAACAAGCUUAAACUAAGCUCCCAAGUUUUAGAGUAAUGAUUGCUCAUCAUGCAUCCAAAACAUGUUUUAAAGUAAUUGUUUAGCUGGAAAUACUACACACAUUUUUUAAAAACAAACAAUAUGAACUUCAUUGUAUAACAAAGAAACUAAAUUAGCCCUUUGGGGCAUGAAGGCAAACCUGAAUUAUUGCACACUUCACUGUAUCUUGCUUAUUUAAUAUUAUACGUAGCCUGCUAAAGAAAUCUACACUGUCUCACUGGAGAGAAGUUUAGAAAGUAGCCAACAUGUACAUGCAUCCACAGUACCCGAAAUGCAAUUCUCUAACCUCUACCACAAUGGUUAGGUCGGAUUAUCUCUGCAGCCUUUCAGUAAAACUUAGCUAUUUAAGCAGUCAUCCUACUGACAUUUUCCCACAUCGGGUUUUGAAGUAGCAGCAACAUUUAACCGUAUGUACAGAACCCAGUUACAGGCUGAGAGUUUAUUUUCAAAGCUGGAAAUUGAGUAAUUGUACUUUGUUACAGACUGUCGGGAUGCCAUCCCAGGAGGCCUAGAAAAACCUCGUUGACCCACUAGCUCAGUCACUGGUGACUGGACACCCGUGGCUUACCCGGGUAAGCGACAACUCAACGCUGCUUAGCAGAGGGUAAGCCUUCCAAAAAAGAGGGAUGCCUCUUCAAAAAAUAAAAUUAAAAAAAAAUGACUGUAGUAGGAUUUUAGAUGAAACCUGCAUAUUGCACUGUACAUGCCCUGCACCACCGAACAUAACCGCAGCUUUGAAAAGAAGUGAUUUCAAGCUUCCCUGAGCUGCCUGGAUUCUCUUAACUGCUGCUGUUCUGAGAGCAAAGCCAGUGGUCUUUUUCCAUGAGCAAGGCUGGUGAUAAUAAACCAGAGUAAGAAAUAAAAAGGGCCUCAAAGUACAAAACUUUGAGCAACGUACGGAUUGUGCAGAUGCACGAGUCAAAAAGCUUAUGCAUCAGGCAAAGAUUUUGCAACACGUGUUGCAAUAAAUCGAUGUACUUCAAUUUUUGUACAAAAUAAAAAAAGUUUGUUCACUACGAUGUUGGGAAAUUUCAUAAGCAGCUCAAGUGCCAAAACAGGAGGGUGAACUGUACUCCAUCACACAUUCCCACUGUUGUACUUGUUCACUAAUUUGCAGACUUCAAUUGAUUUGCAUCAAUAGGGAUGCAGUGCGAGUCAGCAAGGUGCUGCUGUAUCAUAUUCUCUUUCCCCAAAAAGCAUUUUAUGAAAAGUGGUGUAUGAGCAAUUCCAUCCAGGGCUCCGGCAGACAGAGGCUGUCUGACUUUUAUAAGCAGAAUAGAAUCAAAAUGUCUUCUAAAGCUUAGUGUGUAUAUAUAUAUAUAUUUUUCCCCCCUCCAACUCAGUUUCUGAACCUAUAAAAAUAUGAACCGUUUGUAGAACCUGAAGCUGCAUGGGAUAUUUUACUUGUUACACACCACCUCUGUUAAAAAUGGAGAUGAUGUUUUACACCACAUAAAAAAAAAAUACACUGCAUUGUGUUGGAAGCUAAAAUGAAUCUGAUACAUACAUGGAUUAAUUUACAACAUUUGGUGCAAGGAAUAUAUUUUUCUUUUUUUCAAAUAAAAAGCCUAUUUAAAUAUAAUCCACUAAAGCAAUUCAAAUAAAACUGAUGAGUUCU